UCCUAGUAAGCUGUCAAUUGAGGUUGAAGAGAACCUGACUUGUUUCCCAAUAGAAGCGCUGAAAAAGUUUAGUAAGUUGCGGUCACUGACAAUUAAUAAUGCAAAAGAGAUCUCUUGGACAAGAGAAGGUCUGGAAUCCUUAAAAGAGCUUACAUGUUUAUGGCUAGAGAGUUGUCGGACAAUGAGAUGUUUACCAGAAGGGAUGUUGCGGCACCUUACUGCUUUGGAGUACCUCACCAUAUGGAAGUGCCCAGAAUUACUAGAGUUGCCAGAGGAUAUUAAAUACCUCCAUAAUCUUCAGUACCUCCUGUUACAGUAUCUUCCCAAGAUAACGCGCUUGCCUCAAGCCUUUCAGCACCUCACUAAUCUACAACUAGAUGAUCUUCCUGAAUCACUCCCAGAUCAGCUACCAUCUCUCUAUGGACUCGCUGUUAUGAACUGCCCAAAGGUUGUAUCGAUUCCAGCUCUGCCAAAUCUGAAACACCUAACAGUCCGUUGUUGCCCACAACUGGAAAGGCGAUGUCAGAGAGGAAGUGGAGAGGAUUGGCACAAGAUUGCCCACGUUCGCAGCAUUUAUAUUUCUCCAAAUUAACUCAGCUAUUUUUUGUUGAUUUUAUGUAAAAAAAAUCGAGCUUAACUAUGAUUUCAGUAAUUUGUGUCAUUCUUCAAGAUUAAGAAGAUGUACCAAAAAUAGCAUUGGAGAAAGAUUACAAAGAUGUGUUGGAGGAACUUUGAAAAGUUGGCAUUGUGGCAGGGGGCGAAGUAGUACAUCUUUGAGUGUGCAUUGUCAAAUGCAAGUGUCUUAGAAUAUGUGGCUGAAUUCCUGUUUUGCUUAACUUUUCUAAAUAUAUUUUGGCAAGAUUUUUUUUGUGUUCUCGUAGUUAGAGAUUUGCCGUUAUUCUGUUGAGUUAUCUUCUAUUAGAUCUUGUUUUCUACUUAUAUAUUUCGUUACUAUCA